ACACAUUGGCCGCCGCAGCCCUCGGCGAGGCGCGCACGGCCCCAGGCGCCUGCGCCCAGUGGAGGCAGCGCCCGCCCGCCGCGCUCGGGCCUCGGCCCCGCCGGCCCUCGUGGGGCCCCGCGGUCACACAGUCCGGCUCCGAAGUUGCGGCCCCCGGCCCAGGUCACUCCCCCAGGCGCACGCGGCGGCGGCGGCCCGGGCUCACCAUGGUGGCAGCGCGCUCCGAGUGCCCGCGCGUCGCCGGCCGCCGGAGCCGCAGCGCCGGCUGAGAGCUGUCCACCGAAGCCCCCAACUCCUGCCCGUUCCUCGCCCGGCCCGCGCGUCCCCUCCGCCCGCCGCUGUCUAUGGCGCAGCCCCCCUCCCUGGAUCAUGCACAGAAACUUUCGCAAGUGGAUUUUCUACGUGUUUCUCUGCUUUGGCGUUCUCUACGUGAAGCUCGGAGCGCUGUCAUCCGUCGUGGCCCUGGGAGCCAACAUCAUCUGCAACAAGAUUCCUGGCUUGGCCCCGCGGCAGCGUGCCAUCUGCCAGAGCCGGCCCGAUGCCAUCAUCGUGAUUGGGGAGGGGGCGCAGAUGGGCAUCAACGAGUGCCAGUACCAGUUCCGCUUCGGACGCUGGAACUGCUCCGCCCUCGGCGAGAAGACUGUCUUCGGGCAAGAGCUCCGAGUAGGGAGCCGGGAGGCCGCCUUCACGUACGCCAUCACCGCCGCCGGCGUGGCUCACGCCGUCACCGCCGCCUGCAGCCAGGGCAACCUGAGCAACUGCGGCUGCGACCGCGAGAAGCAGGGCUACUACAACCAGGCCGAGGGCUGGAAGUGGGGCGGCUGCUCCGCCGACGUGCGCUACGGCAUCGACUUCUCCCGGCGCUUCGUGGACGCCCGCGAGAUCAAGAAAAACGCCAGGCGCCUCAUGAACCUGCACAACAAUGAGGCGGGCAGGAAGGUCCUGGAGGAGCGCAUGAAGCUGGAGUGCAAGUGCCACGGCGUGUCGGGCUCGUGCACCACCAAGACGUGCUGGACCACGCUGCCCAAGUUCCGCGAGGUGGGCCACCUGCUCAAGGAGAAGUACAACGUGGCGGUGCAGGUGGAGGUGGUGCGGGCCAGCCGCCUGCGGCAGCCCACCUUCCUGCGCAUCAAACAGCUGCGCAGCUACCAGAAGCCCAUGGAGACGGACCUGGUGUACAUCGAGAAGUCGCCCAACUACUGCGAGGAGGACGCGGCCACGGGCAGCGUGGGCACCCAGGGCCGUCUGUGCAACCGCACGUCGCCCGGCGCCGACGGCUGCGACACCAUGUGCUGCGGCCGAGGCUACAACACCCACCAGUACACCAAGGUCUGGCAGUGCAACUGCAAGUUCCACUGGUGCUGCUUCGUCAAGUGCAACACGUGCAGCGAGCGCACCGAGGUCUUCACCUGCAAGAAAAAGGAGCACGGAAGAGGAUGAGAUUGAUGACGAUUUUCCUGAUGGACAGACCCGCUGGGCCGCACGGCUUCAGGAACGGACGUGACCGUCACGUCUCCCACGGAUGGGGCUCCUGGUACAGCCACCAUAUCAACAACCCAAUGGAAGUAGCACUGGAGUCCAAGGCAGCAAAGGCAAUCUAGUCUUCUUCCGAAACCGGAGGAUUUCACGACGUGCCGCUUCACGCUCUUCUUGGGCAGAUACUAAAGAUGUGCGCUACAUCUCUACCCUAAACAAGCACAGCAUUUUGGGAAAGACAGCUUCUAACGUUUCCAUGGCGACUCCAAACAGAAGGCGUGAGCCUGUUUGUUACAAAACUGCCUUCAAAGAACCCUGCGAUCAGCACUACGGUGAGGACUCGACAGUCCAGCCGGCUCUUCAUCAGAACACGUGGUGUCUGAAGGAGCCACAGAGACGAGCGUGGGACUGAGCACCUGGAAACCACAGGGCCUGGAUAUUUUUAAAAAUUAUUUUUAGACAACAAACCCGUUUAUGGCAAGGAGUUUAUGUACUGGCAAACUUUCCAAAGCACACUACUUAGCAGGCCACAGAACAGACGUCAGAAGCCUUUGAUGAAGUUGGUCUGAGAACAGGACGCCCCAUAACAGGCAGGACCAUGUCAUUAGGCUUCCACGAAACCAUGUCCUCUUCUGCCACAUCAUGACAAGACCUCCCUCAAGGUGAGGAUGCUUAAUAAACAGCUUCCACAUCUAAACUAGUACCUUCUCAGACUAUGGUAAAACUGCGUAAUUUUUCAGACUGCAAAGCAGUAGUUGGGUUUGAAAAUGUUCUGGAAAUGCUUUACGUUGCUGAGAACCAAACACUUCAAAAUCUGGCAAUUUCUGUCAGCCGAAGGAAAGAAAGGGCACGGAACGUGACACCGACAGGAUGACUUCGCCUCCUGCUGAGAUAACCAGCUCUGCUUCCCUCCCAGCCACGCGAGUCGGAGAGACUGUGCACCUCGGGGGCCACGCUCCCGGUGGGCCCAGGUCUCCGACCCCGACCCCGUCUGCAGGCGUCCUGACCCACCUCUGCCCUGCUCUUCAAGUAUUCACUUUCUGAGGAGAGAAGAAAAAAAAAAAAGGCAUUUCCCAAACGGCUGCCCAGGGAACCCCAGGUUCCAAUGAGGCUCUGACUGCUGCAGGAGGAACCUGUCCAAACACGCCACAGGGGGCACCUGAGUGGGGCGAGGCGGGGGCAGAGGAGGGAGGGCAACUUACCUAUGACACGGGGCACAGACAAGAGAGGGUCCUCGCGGAGGAAAUAAACCUGAAAAACACCGUUAGUGUUCCUGUAUGAAGUGCCAACCACUUCUGCCGAGGCGACUCUACCUCCAAACUAAGAGACACUUCACUGCGCAGUAAAGUGCAUCCCAGCUCUGCCUUCAUCUGCAACGAUUCUCUCAACUUCCACGUAAGUCACUCAGUUAAACUACGCACUCUUCUCACUCAGAAAACUAAAGUGGAAGUCUUCAUCGUGCAGACUGUGCACCCGGCCUCCUCUCACGGUGCUGGAAACCAGUGUGUGUUCAGUAACCAGCACAAACCACCCUUCGGGCUCCCUCUUCCUUCUCCAAAUUGUUGGUCUAUCUGAUGUCUAAUUUCCCUCUGCAUUUUUGCAAUUUAAUACGAGGGCACAUCUGUGGUUCAAGUGUUUCAGUGCCGUGCCGAUGCGGACUGUUCUAGGUUUUGUAGUGUAUCCUAACAGCGUUCAUAAAUCAAUGUAUGUGUACGCUCUCAUUUGCCAAUUAACGGCUAAUCGUUAAUACUGAACACGGUAGAAUAAACCCCAACUAACAGCAGAGGGUGGGGGAACAAAUAACUGGCAGAUCUGUAAACUGCAGGUCACAGUCCGAAGAACGUAAGACAACACUGGUGUUUAAUAUGUCCUACAAGGAGGAGAGGCUUUCAGUCUUUAUCGAGGGAAAAAGUCAUCUCAGGAACACCACUGCUUGGAAAGCCGAGGCUGCCUUUCGGUCUCUUAAAUCUCUAGGGAACUAGAACAUCAAAGAAGUGGUACAAAGGCCCAAUAAAACACUGCUGAAUCUGACAGAAAUAUCCUAACGUAUAUACAAGGGUCAACCAGAGAAAUGUUGUCUCUGUGCAUAACCUGUUUCUUAAAGAUUCUGGAACAAAGGCUCCAUUCACUGUCCUCAGUAUGCACGACUUGCUUUCCGUCAACCCAACGUCUAAAGGGAGAGACGAGCUGGUCCCAGCUUGAAGGCCCCUCUCGGGAGCCUGAGCCGCCCUUCCAUCUCGCCAGGCCCGUCAGCGUCAUCACGUGGGCGAAGAACCGCGGAACCACGGUCCUCAGCCUGGGCCCUGGCCGGGAUGAGCCCUCUGUCCUUCACGAAUCCCAGAUGGCUAAAGCGCAGGCACCCAAGGCUGGCUGCUGCCACCCCGCCCAGCGAGCCUGUCAGUGUGGCGGUGAAGUAACGGGAAGAUGAUACCCGCUCGGGUCCGCAGUCACCACGCGCUCCCCACUCCAAAGCGCCUGUGGCCGAGCGAGGGCUGGGCGUGCAGGUGCCUCACACCCACAGGGUUUUGUGGUAAAGGGUCCUACGGCACCGAGACUAAUUUUGUCCACUGCGCAUUCUGGAGUCAUCUCACUCACCACCUCAAAGCCGGGCGCGGUACGGGGCAGUCGGUCUGGCGUCUGCCACACAACAGGUCUCGGAUCAGAGCCAACCACGCCACUUCUAACUUAACGCACAGGGCCUGGGGCCACCAAGCGGUUCCACGAGUAUCUGGGGCAGGGCUAACGUCACUUCUGAGACUCCGCAGGGGCCACUGCGUGUGACGUGCUCAGCAGAGCCUGGCCUAUGCCGGGCAUGUAGCAGAGGCCCACGAUACGGAGCAGGGCCUGUCCCAUGGGGGGUCCCCCUCCCCCUCUCCUGGGUCCCCGCACGCUAUACUGUCACCGUGUCAUCCUGAGCCCUUCUAUGGAACGUGUGCUCACCUGUGUGCAGGGACUCCGGGCUGGGCCACUGCAGCUCCUGGCGCACACAGGAGGAGGGAAGUUUUAAACACCUCUGGAUGAAUGCUCCCUGGUGCCUGGCCUCCGUCCUCUAACAAGGGCAGGCACCCCAGUUCUCCCGUCAGAUCUGAGCUGUACGUGAGGCAUCAGUGACACAUGCACACAGACCCCACCCCGCGCUGCACAGCCUCAGCCUCUGGGCUGCAGGGGAGACCUCCUGAGGGAUAGGCUUUCUGGACACAGUAAACUUCUCAAGGAAAGCUGCUGCCCCCGAGUCUCAACCCGCAUCCAGGGGCACCGCCGGCAGCAAGCUGCACUUGGCGAUGGCGCAGAAGGUAUGACAUAAUCUGAGGUCCCUGGGCUCUGACGACUGAGAAGCUUAUGAAGAGAAGCCGCACUUGGCGAUGGCGCAGGAGGUGUGACGUAACUUGAGGUCCCUGGGCUCUGACGACUGAGAAGCUUAUGAAGAGAAGCCGCACUUGGCGAUGGCGCAGAAGGGUGUGACGUAACCUGAGGUCCCUGGGCUCUGACGACUGAGAAGCCAGUGAGAGCCCAGAAGAGAGAGCCCACUCAAGGCCCUGGCAGCCAGGUAGGAGGGUAUUUCUAUAGUGCUCUGUGCUCUUUGGAAUAAAGGAAUCGCUGGCUUGAAUGAAUUUCUACCUUCCAUGUAAGCAAAGCUUUGCCAGAGGAAUUAGCUUAAGUGUCUCUCAUGUAAGCCAAGACUGCCAGUUUAUCUGCAUAAAAUAAUAACAGUAAUAAUAAUAAAAGUAAUGGCAGCAGCGGGCGUUAUCACCUGCAGAGUGUACAACAUGUGUCAGGGGCUGUUACAAGCACUCACAGAAAGUAUUCAACCUUCACAAACACACCACCUGCGGGAGGUGUUAAAAACCCAUUCUACUGAUGAGAAAACUCAUCAGACACAGGAGGCUGAGGCCCUGUCCGAGGUCACACACCUGCAGUGGGCGGGCCUAGCUUGGAUGCAGGCUCCAGCACCCACCCCACUGCUCCUAAGCCGUCCUCAGGGCCCACAGCCGACGGGAGGACACUUGGGGGAGGCCCAGUGCGGUCCUUCCUCCGGCCAGUCUGACCGCGAGCUUCUGAGCUCUGCCCACACGACAGCGAAGGAGUAGCAGGUUUUAUAACACUUGAAACAGACCCCCUUUCUCUUCAAAGAAAUCUCGAAAGAUAAGCUCUCAGAUACCAGUCAGAGUGACUACCUCUGCAAAACGUCUUUGGAAGUAACAAUAAACAGCUCAAAAUGAAAUUAAAAUUUCGAGUAGAGAACGUUAAGUAACCCCAUCCAAAUUACGGAAGAUGACUGUUGGUCUAGUACUAAUGACAUCUGACAUUAGUAAAGCACAGCCAAGGGUCAGAAACAGUUCUAAGACCCAAGGGCGUAAAUGAAGAACACAAACAGUGUGGCGCUUCUGGAGGACUGUGGACUCGACAAGACCCAGCAGGGACCAAAGCGUCAGCAUACUGCAUGUGCCUAAGCAUCUGUUAGCACUGUCCUUGGUCCAAAUGUCACUAGUCUCCGGGGGUGAUGAACUCUAUGGGUCACCCAGGCCAUGCUGGUGGCCUCUCCACCCCUCCUCCCCUCCCAGCAGCUCCCAGAGAGUCCCCAGUCAAGAGGGGGUGGGGGCUUCCCUGGUGGCGCAGUGGUUGGGAGUCUGCCUGCCGAU